rnacentral:rRNA from 1 species
UACGUAGGGUGCAAGCGUUGUCCGGAAUUAUUGGGCGUAAAGAGCUCGUAGGCGGAUUGUUAAGUCGGGGGUGAAAUCCUGGAGCUCAACUUCAGAAUUGCCUUCGAUACUGGCUUUCUAGAGGCUGGAAGAGGUUAGUGGAAUUCCCAGUGUAGAGGUGAAAUUCGUAGAUAUUGGGAAGAACACCAGUGGCGAAGGCGGCUAACUGGUCCAGAUCUGACGCUGAGGUGCGAAAGCGUGGGGAGCAAACAGGG